AAAGAUUUUCUCCGCGAUUUCGCUUUGCAAUCACCCAAACUCCAAAGCGGACAUCUGACGGAGGUUUUGGCUUGGAACCUUCUGGAAGCUUCUACGUGGAUCUCGAGGCUGAUUGGCGCGGAUGCCGAGGAGUCAAGAGUCCCUUAGGGUUUCUAGGCAAUAAAUGCAUGACUCUUAGAAUUCCUAUGCAUAUUUAUUAUGACUCUUGGGAGACCGUAGCGUAUUUAUUGGCCUCCCCUUUUGGCUUGUAGU
rnacentral:lncRNA from 1 species